UCUCCGUUGGUGAACCAGCGGAGGGAUCAUUACAGAGUUGCGAAACUCCCAAACCCUUGUGAACAUACCCGUUACAGUUGCUUCGGUGGGCGGCCCCAGGGCGGGGCCGCAGCCUCUUCUCACGAGGCGCCCGCCGGAGGUAUAUAACUCUUUGUAUUAUAGUCUCUCUGAGUAAAUUUAUAAUAAGUCAAAACUUUUAACAACGGAUCUCUUGGUUCUG
rnacentral:misc_RNA from 1 species